CACCGCGGUUAUACGAGAGGCCCAAGUUGAAAGACACCGGCGUAAAGCGUGGUUAAGUUAAAACUAAACUAAAGUCAAAUAUCUUUAGGGCUGUUACAUGUAUCCGAAGACGGGAGCCUCAAUCACGAAAGUAACUUUAUGUAAACUGAACCCACGAAAGCUACAACA
rnacentral:rRNA from 1 species